rnacentral:rRNA from 1 species
UACGUAGGGGGCAAGCGUUGUCCGGAUUUAUUGGGCGUAAAGAGCGUGUAGGCGGCCAGGUAGGUCGGCUGUGAAAACUCGAGGCUCAACCUCGAGAUGUCGGCCGAAACCAUCUGGCUAGAGUCCGGAAGAGGAGAGUGGAAUUCCCGGUGUAGCGGUGAAAUGCGCAGAUAUCGGGAAGAACACCCGUGGCGAAGGCGGCUCUCUGGGACGGUACUGACGCUGAGACGCGAAAGCGCGGGGAGCGAACAGG